GUGCUUGGCUGAACACUGGACGAGGGUGGGGACAGAAUCAAAGAGGGAUCCAAGACAGACCUAGGAGGCUGCUGCAGGUUCUUAACACAGCCCUUCUUAAUCUCCCUGCUCACCUCCACACAGGUCUCUAUCUCAGGAAACUGGCUCAUGAUGGGUAGCACAGCCUCCAUGGUACUCCCUGGUCGCAGGUCUGACUUAUUGCCCACCAGGAUGAUGGGCAACCUGGGAGAGAGGCCAUGAUCACCAGGGAUGGGGAGCAGGUAGGGUCUAGUCCCCCUAGCUGAGGCCCUGCGGGUCACCUGGGCCCUGCUGCAGUCCUGCCAUUCACCAGGGGGAUCCACUUGGUUCGGAUCUGAAAGACAGAGUUCAAAUGUGAAGGAAGAAUGCACACAUGCUUCCCUACCUGGGGCUAAACAAGCUUUAGGAAUGGAGCAGAAUUGGAAGCCAACUAUGGUCCUGUGGAUGAAGCUGGUGGGAGACUGAGGAUGACAGAGAGGGAUUUGUCUGUUCCCAACAGCUGCAAUCUCCCCAAGCAGUCCCUAGCUCAAAGGUAUGGGGCUCAACAGAGAUGAAGCUGGGAAUGAGGAUGAGGUUGAGGAACAAGAGGCCAGGUCAACUGCCAACUAAGCCAGGCACUAGCAGCAGAGGCUGAGAAUGGACAAGGAGCUCCCCUCUUGCUCACCUUCUCAAUGGUGGCUUCCUCAGACACAUCGUACACCACACACACUACAUUGGCCUAAGGGAAAGCAAGACACAGGGUGACCAGAGGCUACCUGCUCACUAUAAACAGCAUGGGCCACUCCAGAAUGUCCCAGGUGCUCACAGCAGGAUGGGCUAUGAAGACUGGGAAGCCCACUUUUACCAAACAAGCCUCUCUCUGCCAGCACUCCCUAAGAGACACCAGACACUAGCACCAUGGCUCUAGUCAGCAUAUCCUUGUCCUGUGUGCUUAGGACAGACCCACCAUAGGCAGGGUACAGUCCUGACCAGAAUCUCUCACUUUCUAGCUCAGUACAAGCAGCGAGGACACAUUGGACAAGAGCAAGAAGACACUGCCAGCCAUAGAAUACAGAGACUGAAGGACUGCAUUCAGGAACAUGAAGGAAAGAGAAAGCGAUGCUGAGAGGCUGUUGGGCUGGCUGCAGACCGGCUGCAGGCCAAAUACACACAGGCUGAGGGGGCAGCACUUGGAGAUACCUGAGUAAUCCACGAUGUGGGUGGGCACCUUCUCCGGGGUGACGUCGGCGGGGAUGGUUAUCUCCUCGGCGCGGGCAGGGACCUGUAACAGGUGGGUCGGGGUUGACUGCGGAGCCCGGCCUCCCAGAGCUUCGCUUCCGCCCCGAGUGUCCAGUCCAGCCGGCACACCUCCUCGGGAAACUCCUCGCCGACCAGCGACAGGAUCAGAGAAGUCUUGCCGACCUGGGCUGCGCGCAGAGAGGCAACAGUAAGUAGUCAGGAGCAUGGCCGAGGUCACAGCGACCCUACCCGUCUGCCCGCGGUCCCAGCGCCUACCCUCGCCUAGCAGCAGGAUGCGCACGUCGCGCCGCAUGGCUGCCGCCCGCAACAGCACCCCAAACCCACCCCUCCCGGCCCAAAACGGACCAACUAGACCUAGACCCAACCCCAACCCCAACCCAGCCCUCUCCUUCAACCCGCCCAAGCCCCCACACUUCCUGUCUCUAAUCCCGCCUUCAUCCAAACUUCCGGGCCCGCCCGCGCAGCUCCAGCUAGUGGUUGAGCUACGCGUCGGCGCCGCCGCAUGGGUGCUCUUAACGCUGCAGGUGAUGCAGCCAGUUCUCUUGGACCCAACAAGCUUCUCAGGUGGACAGGCCAGUGGCGAGAAAGGCUAGACAAACGACAGGAUUGGGGGAUAGGGGCAAAGACUGAGCUCAGGACAGAAGUGAUGCAGAGAUGUAAUUUAUGGGGCAAUAAUAAAACAAUGUAUCAAUAUAGCAAAUGCCAGAUUUUAUUUAAACUGUACAUAAUAAAAAUAAAACAACCUUCCCAGUA